CUUGGGACCAGCCGGCUAGACGAGGAAGUGAGCCUGGAGCAGUGGUGGUCAGGGGCUCUUCCGGAGGCUGGAGGAGAAGAGAUUGGAGAUCUGAAUCCUAUUUUUCAACGCAUUUUUCUUUGAUCAGAAGAAUGGAAUUUUUUAUUUCUUAAAAAGUUGUCAUAUAUGCAAGACAGUGCAUUCCCCCACCCAUGUAGAGUUUGAAGAAGACUGGAACCCCCCUGUGCUCCCACUGGCACCGCGGGGGCGGUGUGAAUGGACACUGCGCUCCACGCACUCCCGGCCAUUCCUGUCUGUGGGUCUGCUGCUCUGACCUCUCCUUCCCUUGUCUGCACUCCACCCUUGGCCACAUCUUUGCUCCCGGCCCCACCUCUUUGGCCUGGACUGCCGCCCCGGCCCAACUGCCUCCUCCAGCGCAGGGGCCACCCCUCCACUAAAGACUGACUGGCUUCGGGGACCAUUUUCUUCCUGCAACUGCUCUUCCCGAGGAUCUCUGACUGCUCCUGUCUGUGGGAUGAAAGCCCAGCUCCACAUCCUGGUGAUUACUGAUUCCAACACACGUUCCCAAGCUCCCUGAGUCCUCACUUACUUCUCACCUACGCAAACCAUCCAAAUUCGUCCCCUCCCCAUUCCCUGAAUGUCCCCACCCCUCACUCCCCACCUAAAAGCCUCACUCCCUUGUUUCUCAAGCUGAAGGCUGCCUGCUCUGACCCUGACCAGCAUACUGGCUUCUGGGUCUGCUCCCGUUUGGCCUCCAGGCCAGAGCCAGAGCAUGGAGCCCGUGUGCAGACCCCUCCUGCGACCCUCUGGGCGCCCCUCAAAUGUUCCCCUCAGCUGCCCCAGGCCUCUAAUGUCCUGGGAAGUGCCCUGCACCUCCUGCAGCCUAGUUGGGGCUGGCAGACCAGGGUUCAGGUCUUUCCUCGUGGUGCCCACCUCAGCACACUUCAGCUCUUACCACCGAGGGAGUUACUGUUUUGUUUCUCACGUGCUAAGUAUUUAAUGUUUGUUGAAUAAAUG